CCAAACAGCCAACCGGCAAGUGUACCCUACGGUCACGCCUUUCACCGGAACUUUUUUGAGACCCGAGGGGCCAAAACUGUGGCACGAUACACGUAAUUCAGCUACCUCACUUGGUCUAGACUGAUUCCUAACAACAUUAUACAAUGACAACCCCAAAGGCAAGUGAAAGAACUCAUCAACAUCAAUGAAUCCAACNGGUCUAGACUGAUUCCUAACAACAUUAUACAAUGACAACCCCAAAGGCAAGUGAAAGAACUCAUCAACAUCAAUGAAUCCAACCCAUUCACACGAAUCCCUAGCACGCAGUGCACAAUGCGCAAACCCUGCCUCUUGAGUCUUGAUCCAAGGCCACACG
rnacentral:lncRNA from 1 species